AGUGAACGCUGGCGGUAGGCCUAACACAUGCAAGUCGAACGGCAGCACAGUAAGGGCUUGCUCUUACGGGUGGCGAGUGGCGGACGGGUGAGGAAUACAUCGGAAUCUACUUUUUCGUGGGGGAUAACGUAGGGAAACUUACGCUAAUACCGCAUACGACCUACGGGUGAAAGCAGGGGAUCUUCGGACCUUGCGCGAUUGAAUGAGCCGAUGUCGGAUUAGCUAGUUGGCGGGGUAAAGGCCCACCAAGGCGACGAUCCGUAGCUGGUCUGAGAGGAUGAUCAGCCACACUGGAACUGAGACACGGUCCAGACUCCUACGGGAGGCAGCAGUGGGGAAUAUUGGACAAUGGGCGCAAGCCUGAUCCAGCCAUACCGCGUGGGUGAAGAGGCCUUCGGGUUGUAAAGCCCUUUUGUUGGGAAAGAAAAGCAGCAGGUUAAUACCCCGCUGUUCUGACGGUACCCAAAGAAUAAGCACCGGCUAACUUCGUG
rnacentral:rRNA from 1 species